rnacentral:rRNA from 1 species
ACGAACGCUGGCGGCAGGCUUAACACAUGCAAGUCGAACGCCCCCGCAAGGGGGAGUGGCAGACGGGUGAGUAACACGUGGGAACAUGCCCUUCGGUUCGGAACAACGUUUGGAAACGGACGCUAAUACCGGAUACGCCCUUUUGGGGAAAGGCUUCGGCCGCCGGAGGAUUGGCCCGCGUUCGAUUAGCUUGAUGGCGGGGUAACGGCCCACCAUGGCGACGAUCGAUAGCUGGUCUGAGAGGAUGGCCAGCCACAUUGGGACUGAGACACGGCCCAAACUCCUACGGGAGGCAGCAGUGGGGAAUAUUGGACAAUGGGCGCAAGCCUGAUCCAGCCAUGCCGCGUGAGUGAUGACGGCCUUAGGGUUGUAAAGCUCUUUCGCCCGCGACGAUAAUGACGGUAGCGGGAGAAGAAGCCCCGGCUAACUUCGUGCCAGCAGCCGCGGUAAUACGAAGGGGGCUAGCGUUGUUCGGAAUCACUGGGCGUAAAGGGUGCGCAGGCGGGAUCUUAAGUCAGGGGUGAAAUCCCGAGGCUCAACCUCGGAACUGCCCUUGAUACUGGGGUUCUUGAGUCCGGAAGAGGUGGGUGGAACUGCGAGUGUAGAGGUGAAAUUCGUAGAUAUUCGCAAGAAC